AGCUGAUACUCUACUUUGGGAGGAUGAGGCCUGGAGGUAACUUCGCAGCUGCCAUCUCCUACUGACCAGUGUUUUUCUCAUGAAGCUUCCUUCAUGAGAAAAUGAUGCAUUUUCCUCCCCCUCAUGAAACCUGAUUGGCUCCAGAUUCUUUGACAGCCUUCUUGGCCUGGGUGCAUAAAAAAUCUUUUCUACAUGUGGCUGGGACCCUUCAGAAUUGAGAUCUUCAGUGGCUCCUGAUUGUACUCGAUAGGAAAAAAUUAUUUACACUGGAAUUUAAGGCUCUCUACAAUUUGACUGCAUUCUAUCCUCAUUGAUGGAAAUCGCUCAGUGCUCCACAGCCUGCUUGAGGAGUGAGGCUAGUGAAAAGACAGAUCCUAGUCUUCUGGCUUUCAGCUUUGACAGAGAAGAUGCAGAGUACAAGAUUCUCUUCAGGUUCCUAAAAGGAAAGAAAGACUCUAGCAAGAAGCUGAGAGUAGAAAAGCCAGCAGUCUCAAUCAUGUCCCUAUUCCCUGUUGACUAUACUAGAGAUUUCAGGGAAUUUCCUCUUGGGUGAGAACUGGGACCUUUUUUUGGCUGAGUGAGAUUGCUGUCAUGUGAUCUGUCAAUCAAUCAGCCAGCAGAAAGAAAGGGUCACAUAUUAUGUGGUAACUCAGUGGUGCUCUAGCCACCUGUGAGUAACUGAUUCUCAACUCCACCCAUCUCAUGUUUGCACUCUCUCUCUCUCCCUCUCUCCCUCUGGGCUUUGUGUGGUAGCAGCCAGCCCUCAAGUUCAAUGGCACUUAGUGGCUGUCACCUGGAAUAUACUAAAAAAUUACCAGAAAUGCUUAGUAUCUCUUUCCCAUUCCCCAGGACAGUUGGCUUCCCCUCUCAAUAAUGACUUACAGGAUCUUAUAAUUCACUGUUAAUAGCCAUGCAAUUUAUUAAAACUAUCAAAUAACAUAGAAAACACAAAUAGAUAUUGAAAAUGAAGCAUAGCAGCCUGGAUUGAUUUAUUUCCUUCCUUCCCUGUCCCCAUUCCUUCUCCACAUUGUGGGAGUAGGCUAAAAAGGAAAGUGAUUUGGUAGGUAGAAUGAAUAGGGGCUUUCUCAGUUAGGCUUGAAAGGAAUAGGAAGGAGAAUGAAACUGUGGACAGGAAUUUGGCUCAUCUCUAUGGCUAUGCAAUUGGCUGUGGCCCGAUGACAGGCAGCUCCAAACUCACUCUAACUCCACACCACCUUGAGUUCCUUGCCUUUGUAUCCUCCAGUUCCUGACCCCUCUGUUUCCUUCAAUCAGAACUAAAUCCAUGAAGAGUUUCACAAGGAGAUCUCUGCUCUGCUUUGAUUUCCCCUGCUCACAGCUGGUGGGAAGUGCUCAUCUGUUCCUCUCCUUACCUCAUGGCAAGACAAACAUGGAGCUUCCCCUUCCUACAACUACUUCAUCCCCCCAGGCCAAAGGCAAGAUUAGAGGUCUCUGCAAGGCCAAAGAAAGCAGAAACUUAAUAGUUCUGGGAAGUGUGUGCCUACAUACAGUCUGGAUCACCACAUCUCUAUGACUCAUCCUGAGUCUUCCCAGGUUUUA